AAAUAAAGCAAAUCAGAAUGAGCAAAUGUUGAGUUUUUAAUGUAUAUUCUACUUCAAAUAUAUGCCAUACCUUUGAACUUUUUCCUCAUAGAAUUUGGGGAAAGAAUUUUUUUUAUUACGGUUUCCACAAAAACAUUAAGCAAUACUAAAUUCAUAAUAAAAAUAAUUAUAAAUAUUUCCAAAUGACAUUUGAACAGUAGUGUAUAUAUUCCAUAAAUUAAACAAACAUAUUUAUUUGAGCAUUUUUUCCCCCUUCACAAACAUUUGGGUAACAGAAGCGAAUGGUUAACAGUCGAAGAAUGCAGUCAGCAUCUGGUUCUCUUUAAUUGAGUUGUAACUGGUACAUGUGUUAUAGCAAACACAGAUCAGAAAGAUCAAAAUGAAAGGAUAAUUAAAAUAAAGAUUGAAUUAUUGAUAGCCUUAGACAAACAUCUAUGCUGGAAGCAUGAGGGAUACCCUUCAUUGUGUCCAUAUCCCUUGAUUAACACAAUUGAACCAGAUGAGUCAUCAAUCAAUGAUCUUCUCUGGAACAUAUCACUUCAAAAAUCAAUUUUCUAUUUUCUGUCCUUUAUUGACUGUUUCACCCCUUCUCUCUUCUCUCGUGCCCCUAGGAUUCAUCUGGUUCCAUGGAUAGAGUUCAGUAAGUGGUUUCCCCCCUUUUCAGAUUGGUUAGUUCAGACGAUUGAUUUUGCUCUUAUUCCAGAGCUUUCCCCCACUUUACACUGCUCCGUGUCCUAAACUCUGUCAUCCAGCCUGAGCCCUAUCGAUUACUUCUAUUGUCAUCUGUCUCUGUUCAUCUGUCCAGUACACAGUUAGAGGAGAGUCAUAGUAUUUUUUCUUUAUGAAUGAUCUAUGAUACUGAGCUUCUGCAGAAACACAGCAGUUUAUCUCCUGACAAAGACUGAUCUGUAAUAUAUUGCAGGAUGCUGGAGGAGUACAACAAAGAGCUACAUGAGAACCUGUUGCAGACAGUGGCAUGCAUUGAGAAUAUGGAGGCAGAAUUGCAAUGUACCAAAACAGAGUUAGUCAGCUUUAAAGAGAAAUACAGAAGGCUACAGGAAAGCUAUUCUGUUUCUCAGCAGGCAAACAGUGUCUUGGAGCAGAAACUCAAAACUGCAGCAGACAGCUUGGACUCAGAGAGGAAGUUUCUCAUGCAGAGAAUUGCAGAUCUGACUAAACAGCUGGAUACGUCUCAGAAGACCAUCAGCUCUCUGGAAAACAUCAAUGUUCCCUCAAUGAUUAGAGAGUUGUUGAAAAAUCAUUUAGACUCUCAUGAAGCACCGGAGCACUUCUUAUGUCCUCGAACAUCUCCAGGCCAAACUGAUGGUGACCAAUCAGAGAGGGUGAAGGAGCUCAGAAACAACCAACCAUUUGAUGGAAAAGGGGAUGUUUUUGAAUGGCCACAGACAGGACACACAUGCUCAGGUGCCAGAAAACAGCCUGUCACAGUCUUUCUGCCGUGGAAACAUGAUCACGAUCCAUGGGCAGAGCCAGGGCAACUUGUGACUGAAGGAAGUGACUCACAACUUCCUUUUUCUUUUACUAAUGAUGUGCCUAUCCACAAAAUGAUGGCAGUUACAAGGGCACCAAGUCAUGAAGUGCACCAAUUAGCCAUGAACACAGAGAUCCACUUAAUUCCCAGAAACCCAUUUAAUCUAGAUGAGAUGAGGCCCAGCAGACAGACAGGUGGAGAGGGAACUGUCACUGAUGUCAACUAUCUUACAGCUCAAAGGAUGCUGAAUGAGUUUUUGAACCAGAUUCCUCCUCCAGUGAAUGAUGCUGAAGGGAAAGAUGCAGCAGACAUUUAAUUUGACGUCCGUGUGUAAACUGUAUUUGUAAAAAAAAAAUCUCUAGCAUCUCCCAUUACCAAUAUUUUAGCAAGGAUGCAAAUAACUGUGGCUCUGAUGGGUCUGGUAUUUGUGAAAUACACUUAAUUUCUAGCUUAACAAGUACAAUUUCUCAAAAGUUAUCCUUAAUAUUAUUGUUUGUUUUACCUUUUUGCCCUGGACAAUGUGAAAUAUUUAAAGAUUGGUUAGAAAUAAAGUAAUAUAGCUAGAUAUUCAUAUUAAUUUAUAACUAAUUUAACUAAUUAACUAAUUUACAAAUUGUAAAGUUUGCCUUUCUAAAAUUAAAAUUAAACUGGAGAGUGUAUUUAUUGUAUACUGUGACAUUUAGGAAAGUUUGAAUUGUUGUUUUUGUAAAAUCAGAUCAAAUAUUAGUUAUAGUUUCUGCUAGAAAAAAAAAGCCACAUAACCAUGUACAUUUAUUAUAGAAUAUCCUUGUAUUUUUUAUUUGAAAUGUAUUAAUAAAGUCUUGUGUGCUAACUUGCUCUACAUUUCGGAGUGGUUUAUAUCUGUCUUAGUGCCUUUAAGGGUGUCUUUAUGUCCAUAUAAAACAAUCACAAUUCACUGCUGGUUAUAUAUGCUUUAUACAAUCAUGUAUGUGACAAAUACAAAUCUUGAAUCUUGAGUGUGACAUCCAGUUAUCAAUCUAUUACAUAAACUGUUUUCAAAUUAAAAUUAAACCAGCAUUACACACUCAUCAUAAGACAAUAAAUCCUGUUUUGCUAUAUUUCACAUGACCCAUUCCUGAUUAUAUAAUAUACAGCAUUUAUAUUCUGCACAGUCAGCAUUAAAAAAGCACACACAGUUCCUAUUAGACACACAUUAAGACUCAC
rnacentral:lncRNA from 1 species